rnacentral:rRNA from 1 species
CCGGCGAUGUCCGAAUGGGGAAACCCAGUGUGAUUCGUCACACUAUCGUUAACUGAAUACAUAGGUUAACGAGGCGAACCGGGGGAACUGAAACAUCUAAGUACCCCGAGGAAAAGAAAUCAACCGAGAUUCCCCCAGUAGCGGCGAGCGAACGGGGAGCAGCCCAGAGUCUGAAUCAGCUUGUGUGUUAGUGGAACGGUCUGGAAAGUCCGACGGUACAGGGUGAUAGUCCCGUACACCAAAAUGCACAGGUUGUGAACUCGAAGAGUAGGGCGGGACACGUGGUAUCCUGUCUGAAUAUGGGGGGACCAUCCUCCAAGGCUAAAUACUCCUGACUGACCGAUAGUGAACCAGUACCGUGAGGGAAAGGCGAAAAGAACCCCGGCGAGGGGAGUGAAAAAGAACCUGAAACCGUGUACGUACAAGCAGUGGGAGCACCUUCGGGUGUGACUGCGUACCUUUUGUAUAAUGGGUCAGCGACUUAUAUUCUGUAGCAAGGUUAACCGUAUAGGGGAGCCGCAGGGAAACCGAGUCUUAACUGGGCGUUAAGUUGCAGGGUAUAGACCCGAAACCCGGUGAUCUAGCCAUGGGCAGGUUGAAGGUUGGGUAACACUAACUGGAGGACCGAACCGACUAAUGUUGAAAAAUUAGCGGAUGACUUGUGGCUGGGGGUGAAAGGCCAAUCAAACCGGGAGAUAGCUGGUUCUCCCCGAAAGCUAUUUAGGUAGCGCCUCGUGAACUCAUCUUCGGGGGUAGAGCACUGUUUCGGCUAGGGGGUCAUCCCGACUUACCAACCCGAAGGUAUCAGAAGUGCGAAUGCUGACAUAAGUAACGAUAAAGCGGGUGAAAAGCCCGCUCGCCGGAAGACCAAGGGUUCCUGUCCAACGUUAAUCGGGGCAGGGUGAGUCGACCCCUAAGGCGAGGCCGAAAGGCGUAGUCGAUGGGAAACAGGUUAAUAUUCCUGUACUUGGUGUUACUGCGAAGGGGGGACGGAGAAGGCUAUGUUAGCCGGGCGACGGUUGUCCCGGUUUAAGCAUGUAGGCUGGUUNUCCAGGCAAAUCCGGAUAANCAAGGCUGAGGUGUGAUGACGAGGCACUACGGUGCUGAAGUAACAAAUGCCCUGCUUCCAGGAAAAGCCUCUAAGCAUCAGGUAACAUCAAAUCGUACCCCAAACCGACACAGGUGGUCAGGUAGAGAAUACCAAGGCGCUUGAGAGAACUCGGGUGAAGGAACUAGGCAAAAUGGUGCCGUAACUUCGGGAGAAGGCACGCUGGUGUGUAGGUGAAGNCCCUGCGGNUGGAGCUGAGACCAGUCGAAGAUACCAGCUGGCUGCAACUGUUUAUUAAAAACACAGCACUGUGCAAACACGAAAGUGGACGUAUACGGUGUGACGCCUGCCCGGUGCCGGAAGGUUAAUUGAUGGGGUUAUCCGUAAGGAGAAGCUCUUGAUCGAAGCCCCGGUAAACGGCGGCCGUAACUAUAACGGUCCUAAGGUAGCGAAAUUCCUUGUCGGGUAAGUUCCGACCUGCACGAAUGGCGUAAUGAUGGCCAGGCUGUCUCCACCCGAGACUCAGUGAAAUUGAACUCGCUGUGAAGAUGCAGUGUACCCGCGGCAAGACGGAAAGACCCCGUGAACCUUUACUAUAGCUUGACACUGAACAUUGAGCCUUGAUGUGUAGGAUAGGUGGGAGGCUUUGAAGCGUGGACGCCAGUCUGCGUGGAGCCAACCUUGAAAUACCACCCUUUAAUGUUUGAUGUUCUAACGUUGGCCCCUUACCGGGGUUGCGGACAGUGUCUGGUGGGUAGUUUGACUGGGGCGGUCUCCUCCCAAAGCGUAACGGAGGAGCACGAAGGUUAGCUAAUCCUGGUCGGACAUCAGGAGGUUAGUGCAAUGGCAUAAGCUAGCUUGACUGCGAGCGUGACGGCGCGAGCAGGUGCGAAAGCAGGUCAUAGUGAUCCGGUGGUUCUGAAUGGAAGGGCCAUCGCUCAACGGAUAAAAGGUACUCCGGGGAUAACAGGCUGAUACCGCCCAAGAGUUCAUAUCGACGGCGGUGUUUGGCACCUCGAUGUCGGCUCAUCACAUCCUGGGGCUGAAGUAGGUCCCAAGGGUAUGGCUGUUCGCCAUUUAAAGUGGUACGCGAGCUGGGUUUAGAACGUCGUGAGACAGUUCGGUCCCUAUCUGCCGUGGGCGCUGGAGAAUUGAGGGGGGCUGCUCCUAGUACGAGAGGACCGGAGUGGACGCAUCACUGGUGUUCGGGUUGUCAUGCCAAUGGCACUGCCCGGUAGCUAAAUGCGGAAGAGAUAAGUGCUGAAAGCAUCUAAGCACGAAACUUGCCCCGAGAUGAGUUCUCCCUGAGACUUUAAGUCUCCUGAAGGAACGUU